AUUGAACGCUGGCGGCAUGCCUUACACAUGCAAGUCGAACGGCAGCACGGGAGCAAUCCUGGUGGCGAGUGGCGAACGGGUGAGUAAAGUAUCGGAACGUGCCCAGUCGUGGGGGAUAACGUAGCGAAAGUUACGCUAAUACCGCAUACGAUCUAUGGAUGAAAGCGGGGGAUCGCAAGACCUCGCGCGAUUGGAGCGGCCGAUAUCAGAUUAGGUAGUUGGUGGGGUAAAGGCUCACCAAGCCAACGAUCUGUAGCUGGUCUGAGAGGACGACCAGCCACACUGGAACUGAGACACGGUCCAGGCUCCUACGGGAGGCAGCAGUGGGGAAUUUUGGACAAUGGACGCAAGUCUGAUCCAGCCAUUCCGCGUGCAGGAUGAAGGCCCUCGGGUUGUAAACUGCUUUUGUACGGAACGAAAAGGUCUCUCUUAAUACGGGGGACUCAUGACGGUACCGUAAGAAUAGCACCGGCUAACUACGUGCCAGCCGCCGCAGUAA
rnacentral:rRNA from 1 species